UCUCUGUCGAGCGGCUGGGCGGGAGCGGUGUGAUGGCGGGCAUGAACCCCAUAUGCUGGCGUUCCUCCUCCAGGGCACACGGCGAGAGCUGAGGCUAAUUGGUGGGAUCAUAGCAAUGAAUCGCUAAGAAAGAACGUCCUCAGAACUGGAAGCACAAGGAAACAUCUCACAUCCUCAGAUCUUCAGAGCUCUAUAUAGGCAGCUCUUCUUAUCUGCUCUAAUGAAGCCGUCCGCGGGGCAAGCGAGCACAGGCCUGACCUCCAGCGAUCCCUCCUCACCUCAUCAAGAUCUCAUUCAUCUGGAGCAACAGCCGCCCCUGGCCAGCACAGGUGAACUGCUUAAAUCAGCUUUAACAGACUGAUG
ensembl:lncRNA